rnacentral:rRNA from 1 species
GCCUACGGGGGGCAGCAGUGAGGAAUAUUGGUCAAUGGUCGGGAGACUGAACCAGCCAAGCCGCGUGAGGGAGGAAGGUACAGAGUAUCGUAAACCUCUUUUGUCAGGGAACAAAGGCGGGGACGUGUCCCCGGAUGAGUGUACCUGAAGAAAAAGCAUCGGCUAAAUCCGUGCCAGCAGCCGCGGUAAUACGGAGGAUGCGAGCGUUAUCCGGAUUUAUUGGGUUUAAAGGGUGCGCAGGCGGUCUGUUAAGUCAGCGGUCAAAGCCCGGGGCUCAACCCCGGCCCGCCGUUGCAACUGGCAGU